GCCAGCCUUUGGGGCAAGGUGAAAUUCCUGACCGGCGGUAAAGUCCGCGAGCCAUUUUUGGCUGAUCUGGUGAGAUUCCAGAACCGACAGUACAGUCUGGAUGGGAAAAGGCAUGA
rnacentral:ncRNA from 1 species